GCAUCUUUAGCUUAAUUGGUAGAGCAACGAUCUCCAAAAUCGUCAGGUCUAUGUUCAAAUCGUAGAAGGUGUGCUA
rnacentral:tRNA from 1 species